CUGCAGUAGAAGUAGAAUAGUGAAGCUUCUGUCCUUUUGAGUUGAAAAGUAUGUUUAGUGAGAGUGAGGAAGUGAGAGGAGGAAGGUGAGUUACUGCAGAUUUGAUGUAAAAAGAGUGAGAAUGUUCUAGCAAAGUGAUGUGUUGGGAAGAGGAAGAGUUUGGGCAGAUUUGAAAGAAAGUGGUCUCUGGGUAGAUGUAAAGA
rnacentral:lncRNA from 1 species